rnacentral:rRNA from 1 species
CCUACGGGUGGCAGCAGUGAGGAAUAUUGGUCAAUGGACGCAAGUCUGAACCAGCCAUGCCGCGUGCAGGAAGACGGCUCUAUGAGUUGUAAACUGCUUUUGUACGAGGGUAAACGCAGAUACGCGUAUCUGUCUGAAAGUAUCGUACGAAUAAGGAUCGGCUAACUCCGUGCCAGCAGCCGCGGUAAUACGGAGGAUGCAAGCGUUAUCCGGAUUUAUUGGGUUUAAAGGGUGCGUAGGCGGUCGGAUAAGUUAGAGGUGAAAUCCCGAGGCUCAACUUCGGCAUUGCCUCUGAUACUGUUCGGCUAGAGAGUAGUUGCGGUAGGCGGAAUGUAUGGUGUAGCGGUGAAAUGCUUAGAGAUCAUACAGAACACCGAUUGCGAAGGCAGCUUACCAAGCUACUUCUGACGUUGAGGCACGAAAGCGUGGGGAGCGAACAGGAUUAGAUACCCGAGUAGUC